UGGAAUAGAAUGGAAGACCGA
rnacentral:misc_RNA from 1 species